UACGUAGGGAGCAAGCGUCGUCCGGAAUCAUUGGGCGUAAAGCGCGCGUAGGUGGCCACAUAAGUCCGUUGUGAAAGUCAAAGGCUCAACCUUUGAAAGCCGAUGGAUACUGUGUGGCUAGAGUACGGAAGAGGCGAGUGGAAUUCCUGGUGUAGCGGUGGAAUGCGCAGAUAUCAGGAAGAACACCGACGGCGAAGGCAGCUCGCUGGGACGGUACUGACGCUGAGGCGCGAAAGCGUGGGGAGCGAACAGG
rnacentral:rRNA from 1 species